UUCACUUAUUUUUAUUGGGUUUCGUAAGCCGCUGAAAGGAGAUUCUAUUUCGGUAGAAUAUUCGAUUUGCAAGCUCUCUGACUAAACUGUUUCUCUCUAUUAGUUGCAAUGGGAUUAAGAAACCAUUGAUUGGCAGCAGCAAGAGGCAAUAGUACUCUUACAGUAGUCAUUUUAGCCACUGGAGAAAAGAUCCGAGUCAUACCAUUGGAAUCAGACAAAAUCUUGUUGAAUCGAAAUAAUCAAGCUUAUUGGAAUUGGGAGCAUUGGAGAAGAAUACAAUUGUAAAAGAAUACAGCUAACAAAUGAACACAUGUGGGGAGAUGAAGAGUAUUAAAAUUUCACAUAAUCACAUCGAUGGUGAAAGUUUUAUUGUAUGUAUGCUUAUUAUUAACAUUGCCUCUUGGUGUAUUCUCCCUUCGGACUCUACCUUCUGAUCCAUGUGACCCAGCAAAUGAGCCUGACCCACGAAACCUCCGACCAGAUCAAAUCACUGUCCUUAUUAAUGGUUAUUCUGAGUCUCACAUUCCUCUCCUUCAGACAAUUGCUACCACAUACUCUGCCUCUGCACUAGUAUCCUCUGUGCUCGUCCUCUGGGGAAACUCUUCCACUUCUUCCCAAACACUGGCCCACUUGGCCCAUAAUCUCUCUCUAUCCUCAUUUGGCCCUGCAACCAUCUCCCUUGUCCGCCAACCUUCAAGCAGCCUCAAUGAUCGAUUCCUGCC
rnacentral:misc_RNA from 1 species